UCCAAAGCAGCAGAGUACAAAACCUGUCAAACAUGCACAAGGGAAGACUGCUGUUGCUUCAUCGGGGCAUAAGGGAGGCACCCAAAUGACACCAACAGCAAUGCAGAAGAGACCUGCAGAUGCAGUACAGAGUGACAUGGCAAUGAAGGCAUUGAAGAAGUUGAGAUUAACGAAGUAAGUGACAUCAAUUACUGCUCUUUAUGAAACUAGUGUUGUAUACUUUUGGAAUUGAAACCAGACACUGCACUUUGCUUACUGCAAAAUGCCAUGAACAAAAGAAAAGGGUGAAAACA